rnacentral:rRNA from 1 species
UACAGAGGUCUCAAGCGUUGUUCGGAUUCAUUGGGCGUAAAGCGUGCGCAGGCGGUUCGCCAAGUCAGGUGUGAAAUCCCCGGGCUUAACCUGGGAAUUGCGCUUGAAACUAGCGGGCUGGAGUGUGGCAGAGGGGGGUGGAAUUCCACGUGUAGCAGUGAAAUGCGUAGAGAUGUGGAGGAACACCGAUGGCGAAGGCAGCCCCCUGGGCUAACACUGACGCUCAUGCACGAAAGCGUGGGGAGCAAACAGG